AGGAGUUUGAUCCUGGCUCAGAAUCAACGCUGGCGGCGCGCCUAACACAUGCAAGUCGAACGAGAAAGUGGAGCAAUCCAUGAGUAAAGUGGCGUACGGGUGAGUAACACGUGGAUCAUCUACCUUCUAGUGGGGGAUAACCCUGGGAAACCGGGGCUAAUACCGCAUAAGCUCGAGAGAGGAAAGCAGCAAUGCGCUGGAAGAGGAGUCCGCGGCCGAUUACGCUAGUUGGUAGGGUAAAAGCCUACCAAGGCUACGAUCGGUAGCCGGCCUGAGAGGGCACACGGCACACUGGCACUGAAACACGGGCCAGACUCCUACGGGAGGCAGCAGUGGGGAAUCUUGCACAAUGGGGGCAACCCUGAUGCAGCGACGCCGCGUGAGCGAUGAAGCCCUUCGGGGUGUAAAGCUCUUUCGGCAGGGAAGAUUAUGACGGUACCUGCAGAAGCAGCUGCGGCUAACUACGUGCCAGCAGCCGCGGUAAUACGUAGGCAGCAAGCGUUGUUCGGAGUUACUGGGCGUAAAGGGUGUGUAGGCGGUCUCUAAGUCUGGGUGAAAUCUCCCGGCUCAACUGGGAG
rnacentral:rRNA from 1 species